AUUGAACGCUGGCGGCAUGCCUUACACAUGCAAGUCGAACGGCAGCACGGACUUCGGUCUGGUGGCGAGUGGCGAACGGGUGAGUAAUAUAUCGGAACAUACCUUGUAGUGGGGGGUAACUAUCCGAAAGGAUAGCUAAUACCGCAUACGUCCUACGGGAGAAAGCAGAGGACCUUCGGGCCUUGCGCGACCAGAUGAGCGCAGGUCGGAUUAGCUUGUUGGUGAGGUAAUGGCUCACCAAGGCGACGAGCCGUAACUGGUCUGAGAGGAUGAUCAGUCACACUGGAACUGAGACACGGUCCAGACUCCUACGGGAGGCAGCAGUGGGGAAUAUUGGACAAUGGGCGAAAGCCUGAUCCAGCCAUGCCGCGUGUGUGAAGAAGGUCUUCGGAUUGUAAAGCACUUUAAGUUGGGAGGAAGGGCAGUCAGCGAAUACCUGGUUGUUUUGACGUUACCGACAGAAUAAGCACCGGCUAACUCUGUGCCAGCCGCCGCUGUAAGAC
rnacentral:rRNA from 1 species